UACGGGGGGAGCAAGCGUUGUUCGGAUUUACUGGGCGUAAAGGGCGCGUAGGCGGCCACCGCAAGUCGACUGUGAAAUCUCCGGGCUUAACCCGGAAAGGUCAGCCGAUACUGCGGGGCUAGAGUGCAGAAGGGGCAACUGGAAUUCUCGGUGUAGCGGUGAAAUGCGUAGAUAUCGAGAGGAACACCUGCGGCGAAGGCGGGUUGCUGGGCUGACACUGACGCUGAAACGCGAAAGCUAGGGGAGCGAACGGG
rnacentral:rRNA from 1 species